rnacentral:rRNA from 1 species
GAUUCAUAAUAACUUCUCGAAUCGCAUGGCCUUGUGCCGGCGAUGGUUCAUUCAAAUUUCUGCCCUAUCAACUUUCGAUGGCAGGGUCUUGGCCUGCCAUGGUUACAACGGGUAACGGAGGGUUAGGGCUCGACCCCGGAGAAGGAGCCUGAGAAACGGCUACUACAUCCAAGGAAGGCAGCAGGCGCGCAAAUUACCCAAUCCCGAUUCGGGGAGGUAGUGACAAUAAAUACUGAUACAGGGCUCUUUUGGGUCUUGUAAUUGGAAUGAGUACAAUUUAAAUCCCUUAACGAGGAACAAUUGGAGGGCAAGUCUGGUGCCAGCAGCCGCGGUAAUUCCAGCUCCAAUAGCGUAUAUUAAAGUUGUUGCAGUUAAAAAGCUCGUAGUUGAACCUUGGGCCUGGCUGGCCGGUCCGCCUCACCGCGUGCACUGGUUCGGCCGGGCCUUUCCCUCUGGGGAGCCUCAUGCCCUUCACUGGGUGUGUUGGGGAACCAGGACUUUUAC